rnacentral:rRNA from 1 species
UGCAGUCGAGCGCAGGAGCUGACGGAACUCUUCGGAGGGAAGGCAGUGGAAUGAGCGGCGGACGGGUGAGUAACACGUAAGGAACCUGCCUCAAGGAUUGGGAUAACUCCGAGAAAUCGGAGCUAAUACCGGAUAGUUCAACGGACCGCAUGGUCCGCUGAUGAAAGGCGCUUCGGCGUCACCUUGAGAUGGCCUUGCGGUGCAUUAGCUAGUUGGUGGGGUAACGGCCCACCAAGGCGACGAUGCAUAGCCGACCUGAGAGGGUGAUCGGCCACACUGGGACUGAGACACGGCCCAGACUCCUACGGGAGGCAGCAGUAGGGAAUCUUCCACAAUGGACGAAAGUCUGAUGGAGCAACGCCGCGUGAGUGAUGAAGGUUUUCGGAUCGUAAAACUCUGUUGUAAGGGAAGAACACGUACGAGAGGAAAUGCUCGUACCUUGACGGUACCUUACGAGAAAGCCACGGCUAACUAC